CAGUAGCCACGGGAAUACGGAGGAUCCAAGCGUUAUCCGGAAUCAUUGGGUUUAAAGGGUCCGUAGGCGGUCUUGUAAGUCAGUGGUGAAAGCCCAUCGCUCAACGGUGGAACGGCCAUUGAUACUGCAGGACUUGAAUUAUUGGGAAGUAACUAGAAUAUGUAGUGUAGCGGUGAAAUGCUUAGAGAUUACAUGGAAUAACAAUUGCGAAGGCAGGUUACUACCAAUUGAUUGACGCUGAUGGAAGAAAGCGUGGGUAGCGAACAGGAUUAGAUACCCGAGUAGUCCCUGUCUCUUAUAC
rnacentral:rRNA from 1 species